CAUACCGCGUGGGUGAAGAAGGCCUUCGGGUUGUAAAGCCCUUUUGUUGGGAAAGAAAAGCAGUCGAUUAAUACUCGGUUGUUCUGACGGUACCCAAAGAAUAAGCACCGGCUAACUUCGUGCCAGCAGCCGCGGUAAUACGAAGGGUGCAAGCGUUACUCGGAAUUACUGGGCGUAAAGCGUGCGUAGGUGGUUGUUUAAGUCUGUUGUGAAAGCCCUGGGCUCAACCUGGGAAUUGCAGUGGAUACUGGGCGACUAGAGUGUGGUAGAGGGUAGUGGAAUUCCCGGUGUAGCAGUGAAAUGCGUAGAGAUCGGGAGGAACAUCCAUGGCGAAGGCAGCUACCUGGACCAACACUGACACUGAGGCACGAAAGCGUGGGGAGCAAACAGGAUUAGAUACCCUGGUAGUCCACGCCCUAAACGAUGCGAACUGGAUGUUGGGUGCAAUUUGGCACGCAGUAUCGAAGCUAACGCGUUAAGUUCGCCGCCUGGGGAGUACGGUCGCAAGACUGAAACUCAAAGGAAUUGACGGGGGCCCGCACAAGCGGUGGAGUAUGUGGUUUAAUUCGAUGCAACGCGAGAACCUUACCUGGUCUUGACAUGUCGAGAACUUUCCAGAGAUGGA
rnacentral:rRNA from 1 species